GUCUCCAGAAAAACUUGCCUGAUCUGGAAAAACUAAGUAGGAUCUGCCCUCUUUAGUAUUUGGAUGGGAGACCACAAGACAAUCCUGGGACUGUAGACC
rnacentral:rRNA from 1 species